GGCCGCGGGAAUUCGAUUCAGGCCUAACACAUGCAAGUCGAACGGCAGCACGGAGCUUGCUCUGGUGGCGAGUGGCGAACGGGUGAGUAAUAUAUCGGAACGUACCCUAGAGUGGGGGAUAACGUAGCGAAAGUUACGCUAAUACCGCAUACGAUCUAAGGAUGAAAGUGGGGGAUCGCAAGACCUCAUGCUCGUGGAGCGGCCGAUAUCUGAUUAGCUAGUUGGUAGGGUAAAAGCCUACCAAGGCAUCGAUCAGUAGCUGGUCUGAGAGGACGACCAGCCACACUGGAACUGAGACACGGUCCAGACUCCUACGGGAGGCAGCAGUGGGGAAUUUUGGACAAUGGGCGAAAGCCUGAUCCAGCAAUGCCGCGUGAGUGAAGAAGGCCUUCGGGUUUAAAUCUAAUGGUCAGGGAAGAAACGGUGAAAGCUAAUAUC
rnacentral:rRNA from 1 species